CUCCUACGGGAGGCAGCAGUAGGGAAUCUUCCACAAUGGGCGCAAGCCUGAUGGAGCAAUGCCGCGUGAGUGAGGAAGGCUUUCGGGUCGUAAAGCUCUGUUGCCAGGGAAGAAUAAGGACGUGAGUAACUGCUCGUCCGAUGACGGUACCUGAGAAGAAAGCCCCGGCUAACUACGUGCCAGCAGCCGCGGUAAUACGUAGGGGGCAAGCGUUGUCCGGAAUUAUUGGGCGUAAAGCGCGCGCAGGCGGUCUUUUAAGUCUGGUGUCUAAGUGCGGGGCUCAACCCCGUGUCGCACUGGAAACUGGGAGACUUGAGUGCAGAAGAGGAGAGCGGAAUUCCACGUGUAGCGGUGAAAUGCGUAGAGAUGUGGAGGAACACCAGUGGCGAAGGCGGCUCUCUGGACUGUAACUGACGCUGAGGCGCGAAAGCGUGGGGAGCAAACAGGAUUAGAUACCCUGGUAGUCCACGCCGUAAACGAUGAGUGCUAGGUGUUGGGGGGGUCCACCCCUCGGUGCCGAAGUUAACACAUUAAGCACUCCGCCUGGGGAGUACGGUCGCAAGACUGAAACUCAAAGGAAUUGACGGGGACCCGCACAAGCAGUGGAGUAUGUGGUUUAAUUCGAAGCAACGCGAAGAACCUUACCAGGUCUUGACAUCCCAUUGACCGUCCCGUAACGGGGGCUUCCCUUCGGGGCAAUGGAGACAGGUGGUGCAUGGUUGUCGUCAGCUCGUGUCGUGAGAUGUUGGGUUAAGUCCCGCAACGAGCGCAACCCUUGUCAUUAGUUGCCAUCAUUCAGUUGGGCACUCUAGUGAGACUGCCGGGGAUAACUCGGAGGAAGGUGGGGAUGACGUCAAAUCAUCAUGCCCCUUAUGUUCUGGGCUACACACGUGCUACAAUGGUCGGUACAACGAGAAGCAAGACCGUGAGGUGGAGCAAAUCUUAAAAAGCCAUCUCAGUUCGGAUUGCACUCUGCAACUCGAGUGCAUGAAGUUGGAAUCGCUAGUAAUCGCGAAUCAGAAUGUCGCGGUGAAUACGUUCCCGGGCCUUGUACACACCGCCCGU
rnacentral:rRNA from 1 species